AUAAGAAACUCCCAGCAAAAGAAAAACAGAUUUAACAAACAUCAAAGAAGCGAGGGCCUCUACACAAGGCCAGACUGUCUCACCUUGUGAGAAGGUUGGGAUGUGACAGGCAGGCACCAAGAUCCUCCCCUCUGUCCUCCUUCCAAGCUUAUCUUUGUGGAAGGGAGGACAAGCAGAUAUCCAGAAACAAUGGCCAAGUGUGGAGUGAGGGUCAGAAGUUAAAUUAAUUAAAAUUUACGCUUAGCCAGCGAAGAUUUAUGUUUGUGCAGUGUUUGCACGUUUAGUGAAGCGUCGAGAAGAUUGUGAACCUAAAAUAAUCAGCCGAUGAGGAACUAGGGGAGAAAGAGAUAAGCGUCAGGCAACAGGGCAUAAAAAGAUGUAACGCUGUUUUCUGCAUGCUCUCCUGCUUGCAGGAGGCCCGCCAUUGCAAUUGUGAAUAAAAUCUGCUUUAUCAGAGACAUAAAAUAAAUUAUUUGGAUAUUUCCAACACAAGACAGACCCCUGGGAGAUGCCGUUCGUUACCAGCCUCCACCGGGAAACAGAACCAUUAAUCGCCACCCUCUGUAUGUGGCCAGUUGUCCCCGAGCACCAGGACUCCAGCUGGUCCUAUAGGCUUGGCCUUUCCUCCUGCACUAGGUUGCUCCAGUACAGGAUCAACAGGGCUGGUGUUACAGAGAGCCCGAAGGAGCAGCCCCUGGGCAUGGAGCAGAAGGCCUCCAAGGGGCCUUUCUGGUCAGGACUUUCACAGUACCCCAUUCAGAUCUGGGAAAGGGUCAGCAAGAUGGUCCUUCCCAAGAAGUAGCAGCCUGUUAUCGCUGCCGAACAGGCUUCAAAUGGGCACUGUUGGCUAGGCCUUGCUUCCUGCCUCAAAUGGCUCCAAUUUGGGGUCAGCAUGGCUGCUAUAACGCAGGGCCCGAAACAGCAGCCUCUGAGCACGGAGCAGAAGGCUUUCAAGGGACCUAGUAGGUGUAAUGACUGUUAAGCACACGAUCUCUUUCAUGAAGAUGUUGUCUCUGAUGUUCUGGGAGUCUCGGAGGAGUCCUCAGUAUCAGAUAUGGUUGUGAAACACAUUUAAUAACCGCAACUAAAUGCCAUCCCAAACUCAGCAUGUAAGUUAGUCACCAUACCUGACUACUCCAAGAUCUGCUCGGACCAGGAAAAUGAUGUUUUAUUAUUUUUGGUUAUGUAUAAAAUAGCUUUACUUAUUUGGUUUCAGACUAAUCCCACUGACUAUGCGAGAAGACUGCGUAAGAGCUUGCAGCUGUUUCCAAAGGAGAAUUUUCUGACAGGAGACCAACUCCUGUUUGAAUACAAGCCAGAGAUGAACGUUCCUUGAAUUCUGAUUACGUGUUUUGAUGUGAGGAAAAUACAGGCAUGCUGUAUAACACAGGCAUAUAUAGACAUAUAAUUAGGCAUAUUACAGGCAGAGGUUUUGUAUUUAUUGAGUCACUUUAAAUACCUAGGAAACAAGUUUUCUUGUGUGUGUAAGGUUGUGAUGUCUUGUUCUCCAUACACUGAGAUGAAGGAGUCUCAGCUGGGUCAGGCAGAGCCACAGCUGUAUGUGAACUGAAGGGCUGUCUUGAAAUUACAGAUCAUUGCGGAUGCCCUUAGCCAGCUCUGUCCUCAGAAGGCCAACCUUGUUCUGCUGUCUGCUGCCAACAAGGGCCAGUGUCACCUAAAGGAGAGGUGGUUUGGAAUGCAGUACAGCGUGGAAGGUUACGUUCGUUUCCAUCUGAUCUCUCCGUUGAUACAGCGGUCUGCAGAGAACUUAGCGUUUGAUGUUUGUAAACAUCCUUUCUCUCAACCUUUAUGAAUGAGCUUAUGCAGCAGAUGUCACCCAGCUGGAAUACAAGCUGGUGGCUGGAGAGCACGGCUUAAUCAUUUGAAUGAAAGGAUUCAGUGAAAAACUACCUAUUCUAUUUCAGCUCAUUACUGAUUACUUGACUGACUUCAGCUUCACUCCAGCGGCUUUUGAAAUGAUAACAGAGCAGCUGAAGAAAACAUAUUUCAAUAUCCUUAUCAAGCCUGAGACUCUGGCCAAGGAUGUGCAUCUCCUGAUUUUAGAAUGCGGCAGGUGGCUUCAUCCUUCGUUGAGGCUUUCAAGGCACAGCUGUUUGUAGAGGGUCUCGUGCAAGGCAACUUCAUGAGCAGGGAAGCAAAGAUUUUUCUGUGUAUGUUAUUCGAAAGCUCCGGUUUGCUCUGCUGGUCCAUCCCUGCCCUGUGCAGUUCUGGGUAGUGGAUCUGCCCAACACACACCUGCUCUGCAAGGUGAAAACAUUCAACGCAGGCGAUGCCAACUCAGCAGUGACCAUGUAUUACCAGUCAGGUGCCAGGAGCCUCAGAGAAUAUGCCCUUAUGGAGCUGCUUGUGAUGCACAUGGAAGACUUCCUUCAAACCCAGCAAACCCUCGAGUGAGUUCACUGUGGGCGUAGCUCCCGCACACCUGCUUUGGGGAUUCCUGGUGUUCUAUCUUUGGAAACUCUUUCCUGCACAUGGCUUGUGCCUGAUUUAGUGUAAUAGAAACAAUGCUGGAACAUGUUAGAAUUGUAAGCACCUGCUGACAUGAGCUGCAGCUGAGUUGCUCUAGAGUCUACUGCAUCUAUGACUUGUGUGUGAACAUGGAAUUAUUCUGCAUGAAGCUGCUCCUUCGCUUCCAUCAGCUUGCCAUUCCUCAGGGCUGCUUUCUCAGCAUCUUUGUGGUGGUAAGACUCAGAAGUGCUUGUCUGCCCCGUGGAAUGGCAAAAGCCUUUCACAGCUACAUGUUUCUUGCUAUGUUAGUGAAUUCCUGGAGAUGAGUUCAAACACAAACACUCUGUCAACCUUUAAAGAUGUCCCAAAAAUGAGAAAAUACUGAAAAAAAGAUUUGAGGAUUUGAGACUUGAGACUUCAGAGGCUGUUUGGCUUCCCGGCCACAGGGAGGCCAGAGCACAAAUCAAGACUCUUGUAUUUGAACGUGCAGUCUGUCUGUAGGAUUUUAAGGAUGACAGGGUCUUUUGUAGCUGGUUCACCACACCUCCAGACAAGCGCUGCAGGGAUCACAGCGCUGCCUCAUCAGUUUUCCUUCCCAACAGUGCAGCAGCAGCAGCAGCUCGCGCCGCACAGCCGCUUAUCGUCGUGCUCCAGAGUUUGCGCUGCUACCUCACACGCGGGCACGGUGCGAGGGACCAGCUCUCCUCACCCGCAGCCUGCCGAGGCGAUCCCCGCCCCCG